CAAACAAGCAAAUCCAUUCUUGGACUAGUUCUUAGAUCUACAAUGCCACCUACAACAGCAAUACUUAAGGUUAUGAGAAGAUAUCUAUCAUGCUCUCUGGAGUGUGGUCCUCUUCUUACAAUCUUAAAUUUUAAAUUUCUUGAAAGGCGGCAUUGUGGACCUAAGACCUUGGUCAAGUGUGGAAUAAGGCUAAA
rnacentral:pre_miRNA from 1 species